CCAGACUCCUACGGGAGGCAGCAGUGAGGAAUAUUGGUCAAUGGGCUUACGCCUGAACCAGCCAAGUCGCGUGAGGGAAGACUGCCCUAUGGGUUGUAAACCUCUUUUGUCAGGGAGCAAUUGGCGCUACGUGUAGCGUUAUCGAGAGUACCUGAAGAAAAAGCAUCGGCUAACUCCGUGCCAGCAGCCGCGGUAAUACGGAGGAUGCGAGCGUUAUCCGGAUUUAUUGGGUUUAAAGGGUGCGUAGGCGGAAGGCCAGGUCGGGGGUAAAAUCGCGGGGCUCAACCUCGCUCCGCCGUUGAAACUGGCGUUCUUGAGUGGGCGAGAAGUAUGCGGAAUUCGUGGUGUAGCGGUGAAAUGCAUAGAUAUCACGAAGAACCCCGAUUGCGAAGGCAGCAUACCGGCUCCACACUGACGCUGAGGCACGAAAGCGUGGGUAGCAAACAGGAUUAGAUACCCGUGUAC
rnacentral:rRNA from 1 species